rnacentral:tRNA from 1 species
GGUGGUAGUUCAAUGGCAGAGUGCUUGUCUAAUAUGUACAAGGCCCUAGGUUCAAAUCCUAGUACCACCA